rnacentral:pre_miRNA from 1 species
AAUAAGUGCAGUUUUGCACUAUUCACGUUCAACGUUUGACCAUCCGUCUUAUUUGAAAAAUUUGUGAAAAAAUUAAAAACAUUUAGUCACACAUAAAGUACUAUUCAUGUUUUAUCAUCUAAUAGCAAUAAAAAUACUAAUCAUAAAAAAUUUUCAAAUAAGACGAACGGUCAAACGUUGAACAUGAAUAGUGCAAAACUACACUUAUU